UAUUGGACAAUGGGCGAAAGCCUGAUCCAGCAACGCCGCGUGAGGGAUGACGGCCUUCGGGGUGUAAACCUCUUUCAGCAGGGACGAAGCGAGAGUGACGGUACCUGCAGAAGAAGGACCGGACAACUACGUGCCAGCAGCCGCGGUAAUACGUAGGGUCCGAGCGUUGCCCGGAAUUAUUGGGCGUAAAGGGCUCGUAGGCGGUUUGUCGCGUCGGGAGUGAAAACUCAGGGCUCAACCCUGAGCGUGCUUCCGAUACGGGCAGACUAGAGGUAUGCAGGGGAGAACGGAAUUCCUGGUGUAGCGGUGGAAUGCGCAGAUAUCAGGAGGAACACCGGUGGCGAAGGCGGUUCUCUGGGCACUACCUGACGCUGAGGAGCGAAAGCAUGGGGAGCGAACAG
rnacentral:rRNA from 1 species